AGCUGAACUGGAAACAUAUUUGAUUUGGAGAAUUUACAUAGUUCGCUAGAAUCCACUUCUUAAAUAAAAUCUAAAUUCCUUACAUUUCUCAUUUAAGUAAAUAAACCUGACAAAGACAAAGAAUGAGCUAACAUUGAUUUUAAAUCUACUUGACUCAACUAUGACAUAACUACCGGGUGGAGUGGCGGUGUGCCUGCCCAGGAUGCUAAAAUCAGGGGGAACAAGCUGCAUGGGCCCAUCAAGUUGCCCAUCAUGCACUUAGUGCCUUCCGACAGUCAUGUUUGAUCAGUGGCCCAGUCAGGUACUGGGAGCAAGUGAGUACAUUGCACUUCCCCCAGCUUACGAACGAGCCGCACAUGAGAGUAAGAGAG